GCGGUACCCAGAAGCAGACCAUCAUACCAGUUCAAAAGGGGCUUGUUUUCUUGAUUCGUGUUCAUUCCAGUCAUGUGUGGGAUACUUGCUGUGUUGGGCUGCUCUGAUGAUUCGCAGGCAAAGAGAGUUCGAGUGCUCGAACUCUCUCGCAGAUUAAAGCAUCGAGGCCCUGACUGGAGUGGCUUACACCAGCACGGUGAUUGCUUUUUGGCACACCAACGACUAGCAAUCAUUGAUCCGGCUUCUGGAGAUCAACCACUUUAUAAUGAAGACAAAACCAUCAUUGUGACGGUAAAUGGAGAGAUUUACAACCAUGAAGAGUUAAGGAGUCAGUUACUUGACCACAAAUUCAGGUCAGGGAGUGACUGUGAGGUCAUUGCGCAUUUGUACGAGGAGCAUGGAGAAAAUUUUGUGGAUAUGCUGGAUGGAAUUUUCUCGUUUGUGUUGCUGGACACUCGCGACCAUAGCUUCUUUGCUGCUCGUGAUGCAAUUGGAGUCACACCCCUCUACAUUGGCUGGGGACUUGACGGCUCUAUUUGGAUAUCAUCUGAGAUGAAGGGGCUGAAUGAUGACUGUGAGCAUUUUGAAUUGUUUCCUCCUGGACAUCUGUACUCCAGCAAAGAAGGUGGCUUCAAGAGAUGGUACAAUCCUCCAUGGUACUCGGAAUCUAUUCCUUCAGUCCCAUAUGAUCCACUUAUUCUGAGAAAAGCAUUUGAAAAUGCUGUCAUUAAGAGACUAAUGACGGAUGUUCCAUUUGGAGUGCUGUUAUCUGGUGGCCUUGAUUCAUCUUUAGUUGCUGCUGUAACAGUUCGUCACUUGGCAGGAACAAAAGCUGCAAAGCAGUGGGGAACUCAACUCCAUUCCUUCUGUGUUGGUUUAGAGGGCUCACCUGAUUUGAAGGCUGCAAAGGAGGUUGCCAAUUAUUUGGGCACUGUCCACCAUGAAUUUCAUUUCACAGUUCAGGAUGGUAUCGAUGCCAUUGAGGAUGUAAUCUAUCACAUCGAGACGUAUGAUGUGACUACGAUCAGGGCAAGUACCCCCAUGUUCCUCAUGUCCCGCAAGAUAAAGGCAUUAGGAGUGAAGAUGGUCAUCUCUGGUGAAGGUUCAGAUGAGAUUUUUGGAGGAUAUUUGUAUUUCCACAAGGCACCUAGUAAGGAAGAGUUCCACUGUGAGACAUGUCACAAGAUUAAAGCACUCCACCAGUAUGAUUGCUUAAGGGCAAACAAAGCAACCUCUGCAUGGGGGCUUGAAGCUCGUGUGCCAUUCUUGGAUAAAGAAUUUAUAAAUGUCGCAAUGAGCAUCGAUCCUGACUGGAAAAUGAUCAAGUCUGAUCUUGGCCGGUUGGAGAAGUGGGUAUUGAGGAACGCUUUUGAUGAUGAGGAAAAGCCCUACCUGCCAAAGCAUAUUCUCUACAGGCAGAAAGAACAGUUCAGUGAUGGUGUUGGCUACAGUUGGAUCGAUGGGCUCAAGGCCCAUGCAGAAAAACAUGUGACCGAUAGAAUGAUGCUAAAUGCAAAUCGCAUUUAUCCACACAACACACCCACCACAAAAGAAGCCUACUACUACAGAAUGAUCUUUGAGAGAUUCUUCCCCCAGAAUUCUGCAAGGCUGACUGUCCCCGGAGGUCCAAGUGUGGCUUGCAGCACAUCCAAGGCCAUUGAGUGGGACUCCCAGUGGUCGAAUAACCUCGAUCCCUCAGGGAGGGCUGCUGUUGGUGUCCAUGUUUCUGCCUAUGAUCCACAAUUGCCCACUUCUCUUUCUGCAGGAAAAGGACCUGCCAAGAUCACCAACAAGAAGGCAAGGGUGGUGGUAGCAACAGCUCCAAGUCUCACCAUCAAGACCUGAUGUCUUUUUGAGUUAUCAAUAUCCCUGCGUACCAGUCUUGUUUGCAUGGAUUCUAGUCAUGUUAUUGUCCUUUUCUCAAGUUCACGUAAUAAUGAACGUAUAAAGAAGUUGAUUUUACGAGUGCUGGAGGCAAGCGUUGAUGAAUAUAACCAACGGAAAGUGGUGGAUUUAACUUAUGUACGACUGCUAAGAUCUUUAAUGGGAUCCAGUUUAAAGCAUAGGCUGAGGACUGGAAUCUCUCCUUAAGAUCAUCUUUAGAUGAUCACUUGUCAUGUACUUGAAGUACCCAGUGGAU